rnacentral:lncRNA from 1 species
AAAUUAGCUCUUAACAAACUGCAUUUUGCUCCUUGUAUAUCUUUUAAAAGACAUCUUCAUCAGGAUAGGUAAGGC